rnacentral:rRNA from 1 species
UACGGAGGAUGCGAGCGUUAUCCGGAUUUAUUGGGUUUAAAGGGUGCGUAGGCGGGCUUUUAAGUCAGCGGUAAAAAUUCGGGGCUCAACCCCGUCCGGCCGUUGAGACUGGGGGCCUUGAGUGGGCGAGAAGAAGGCGGAAUGCGUGGUGUAGCGGUGAAAUGCAUAGAUAUCACGCAGAACCCCGAUUGCGAAGGCAGCCUUCCGGCGCCCUACUGACGCUGAGGCACGAAAGUGCGGGGAUCGAACAGG